UAAGGGUUUGAAAAAACGUCUUCUGCCGUUUCAUCACAUCCUUUUUUAAGACUCUUAAAAGCCAAGCCGAUAUAGAACCGAUUUAAAAAAUAACUGCUGUUCCAGAGUCCUGAGGUCUUGUGCUACACGAUGGCAUUUUAUUUGAUUAAUUAUUUUUCUGUUUGACAAUGGUUUUGUUGCAGCGACAUCUUUCAGUGAAAGAGUGAAUCGUUCUCUAUCAGUAGAGUUUUGAUUGAAUAGAGAAAAGAGAACUGACGCCGUAAUCCCUCUCCAGGCAUCCUUUGUUGUUGAUCGGUCUAAAAAACACUGUAUACCAAUACUCAUCCUAUUCAUCAUAAAAAUGCUGAUAAUAAUUCACUGGUCGACCACAUUAUAUGCAAAGUGUAUUGUCAUUAUUUCCACCGAGUCAACUCGUUCCAUUGCCACAAUUCAUAAGCUUAUCAAGCGUUGAUACCACUCCUACUUAAUGUGUAAAUUACUAUGUGAAUGAAUAAUUCGAAUAAUUUAAACUAAAUGGUUAAGUGACGUUGCAUUGUAAAUGCCAGCAGCGACGUGUUUUGAAUUGAUCAUUCGUAAUAAUCACGGGAAUCUGACGUCACUGGCACACACUUAUUGAAGCGAUUGCAUAUUAAGUCCGUAAAUGUGAACAUGGGCAAAUUAAAGUGGAGAACUUCCUGUCCCCGUUCCGUGUUGUUUUUCUGCGCAUAUUACCGAAUCUAUUAAAAAACAUUCUCGUCUGCCCAGUUCAUCGAGUCUGUGUAUUUGUCAUCGAGUGUGUUAACCAAAGUUCUUCUUUUAACUUUUUUUUUAUAAAUAAAAUAUUUUUAUUUACUUCAGCAGCGUCCUACUCUCAGAAAAUUUACAUUUUAUUAAAUUAAAAAAAAAAAAAUUGCCAGCGACAAGGUUCUUCGUCAAAAAUUUGUUCAAGUAACACACGAUUGACAAAUAAAGUUUGAUCCAACUAUUUUCAGAUAGUAGAUCAAUGCAUUGCAUUGAUUAUUAUGCAUUUAAAAAUGAAUUUGCUGUACAAUUUAGCACAGUUUACCGCGUGUAAAUAUUUAAGUGUUCGAUUCCACGCGCAAAAAAACUCUUUCAGUUUUAAAACGUAGUUAUAUUUUGUAUUCGUUGUUGCUCAGACCUGUUAAAACAAUUAUCCACCUAAGAAUUGAUUUUAUCUGGAAAUUCCAACGUUGAGUCUGAACGAAAGAAAAAAAAACCUUCAUUUGCAUCAACAACUAUUUUUCAAACAAAAUAAAACAACGAAGAAAAAAACGCUGAAAAAUAUUAAGAUUCAAAGAAUCUUGCAAAACAAAUUCCAUAAAUACACACAGUGACGCCUUAAUACGUUAAAUUUCCAUUUAAUAAGACACAGCAUUUUUACCUACCUGAUGUUUAUACACAUACGUAUUAUGUAUAGUUUUGAUACCUACUCAGUCAUCAUAUGUUAAGCAAUUUAAACAGCUGUAUACGAAGGCUCUUUAUUUAAUUUUGAGUUUGAAGUUUGUUUUUCUUUUUUUUUUAAUUUUUACGUUCUUCAGCAAUUUGGGUCAUUCAUAUAAUACAACGUAGUUGUAUUUGGUAACGUUUUUUAUUGACAAAAAAAAAUUAUGUUCAGAAAUACGUGAGUGUCUAUCGAAAAUUAUUACUUUAUUGGUCCGCGGGAUGAGGUAUUUUUAUGAGUCGUGCAUGUCAACAGUGUCGAUUAAUUUGUUUUUAUAUUUGGUAAAAGUAAGUUCUGCAUGGUAUGCAUACGGACGUGAUACACUCACGUUACACAACCAUAUAGUGUAUAAUAUCCACAAACUAAAUCAUCAAACAUUCAAUGGCAUCUACUUUGUCCACAUACCGAACCACACCAUAGUAUAAUACACAGCUACACGGUAUAGACAGUGAAUUUUUCGCUGGAGCUUACAUUCAUUCAGUAAAAACGAGUAAAACGCAUUUAUUAAAUUCGUAAAUUAAAUAUUUUUAUUGAGACAUGAAAGCAAUUUUCAAUGAAUUGAAUUCUUGGUGAAUGAAUCAUACAUGCCGCAUAUACAUAUUUUUCCGUUUAUGAUUAUCUAAUGCUGAAAAUGCACUGUGUGUGUUUGAUGAAAUUAAAAAUUAAGAAAAAAAA